rnacentral:tRNA from 1 species
GAAGGUAUAGCUCAGUGGUAGAGCACAUGCUUAGCAUGCAUGAGGUCCUGGGUUCAAUCCCCAGUACCUCCU